rnacentral:tRNA from 1 species
AAGGGUAUAGCUAAGUGGUAGAGCGCAUGCUUAGCAUGCAUGACGCCCUGGGUUCAAUCCCCAGUACCUCCU